AACCUUCAUACUGUUGUCCAGAGUUGCUGCACCAAUCUGUAUGUCUUCUUUGGAAAAGUAUCUAUCCAUGUCUUCUGCCCAUUUCUUAACUGGGUUGUUUGUUUUUCGAAUGUUGAAUUUGAUAAUUGCUUCACAGAUUUUGGGUACUAACCUUUUAUCAGAUAUGUUGUUUGCAAUUAUCUUCUCCCACCCUGUAGGCUUCCUUUUAGUUUUGUUGAUUGUUUCUUUCA